CCGGGCUGGGGGCUCCUGGUGCUGCCCGUGGGGUGGGAUGCUGGAAUUGCCUCUCUGGCUGUGUGCUGAGCUCUGGCUGCAGGGGACUGUCAGGCCUUGGUGGCUGUGAGUUCCUGUUCUUCUCCCUGGGAAACUGGAAAGAGUUCUUCAUUAGAUUGCAGAAAUGUUUUCUGAAA